GACGAACGCUGGCGGCGUGCUUAACACAUGCAAGUCGAACGGAAAGGCCCUGCUUUUGUGGGGUGCUCGAGUGGCGAACGGGUGAGUAACACGUGAGUAACCUGCCCUUGACUUUGGGAUAACUUCAGGAAACUGGGGCUAAUACCGGAUAGGAGCUCCUGCUGCAUGGUGGGGGUUGGAAAGUUUCGGCGGUUGGGGAUGGACUCGCGGCUUAUCAGCUUGUUGGUGGGGUAGUGGCUUACCAAGGCUUUGACGGGUAGCCGGCCUGAGAGGUUGACCGGCGACAUUGGGACUGAGAUACGGCCCAGACGCCUACGGGAGGCAGCAGUGGGGAAUAUUGCACAAUGGGCGGAAGCCUGAUGCAGCAACGCCGCGUGCGGGAUGACGGCCUUCGGGUUGUAAACCGCUUUCGCCUGUGACGAAGCGUGAGUGACGGUAAUGGGUAAAGAAGCACCGGCUAACUACGUG
rnacentral:rRNA from 1 species